rnacentral:tRNA from 1 species
GCGGGAGUGGCGAAAAGGUAUACGCACUAGAUUUAGAUCCUAGAUAUUUACGAGUUCGAGUCUCGUCUCCCGUA